GUACUCUCACACUCUAAUGCAUUUUGGAGAAGUGGACUUGGGUGUUGCUGCUUUGUGGUGGCUCAUCUUAAAUAGGGUAGUGCAACUCCUGGUUGGAUAUAGUACAGCUUGAUAAGUAUCUUUGCUGGCGCCUCGUGAAGAGGGUGUCCGAUUGGGAGCUCUGUGCUUCAAACGGUCUCGUAAUCUGGGACAAUCUCUGACA
rnacentral:misc_RNA from 1 species